rnacentral:misc_RNA from 1 species
GUGAUAAUAGGUUCUGUGAAUAGGUAUGCGCUUUUUCCCCGGAGAGAGAAGUGACUGAGAAGACAGCCUGUAACGAUUCGAUCAGAAAUGCUGCACGGCGACAAAUCUCCCAUGGGGAAAUGGGUCGCCUCAUCAUUCAUCCUAACUAUAUUACUCUUCUUCUCCAUUGCGGAAUCCACCAACAAUUCUCAGGCAAUUCUUACUUUUUCCUUUUCCAUUCAAUGCAUUUUCCUUUUCUCAUUCACCAAUUCAUCCAUAAAAAAUUCAGGUUCGAUGUAGCAAAACAUGUGUAGCAGAGAACUGUAAUU